GACAGAGGUGGCAAGCGUUGUUCGGAAUUACUGGGCUUAAAGGGCGCGUAGGUGGUGAUAUAAGUCCGGGGUGGAAGGCUGAGGCUUAACCUCAGAAUUGCCUUGGAUACUGUAUGACUUGAGUCAGCAAGGGGAUGGCGGAAUUCCAGGUGUAGCGGUGAAAUGCGUAGAUAUCUGGAGGAAGGCCGGUGGCGAAGGCGGCCAUCUGGUGCUGAACUGACACUGAGGCGCGAAAGCGUGGGGAGCAAACAGG
rnacentral:rRNA from 1 species